rnacentral:misc_RNA from 1 species
AACGCACGAGACCUGCGGACCUGCGGAGGGAUCAUUACAGAGUUGCAAAACUCCCAAACCAUUGUGAACAUACCUUAAGUAGUUGCUUCGGCGGACGGCUCUCCUUCGAGGGUCUUUAGCCCCUAACGGGGUGUCCGCCGGAGGACCAACCCAAAACUAUUGCAAUUAGUGGCCUCUCUGAGUAUCUUAAAAUAAGUUAAAACUUUUAACAAUGGAUCUCU